rnacentral:rRNA from 1 species
UGCAGUCGAGCGCUCACUUCGGUGGGAGCGGCGGACGGGUUAGUAACGCGUGGGAACAUACCCUUCUCUAAGGAAUAGCCACUGGAAACGGUGAGUAAUACCUUAUACGCCCUUCGGGGGAAAGAUUUAUCGGAGAUGGAUUGGCCCGCGUUAGAUUAGAUAGUUGGUGGGGUAAUGGCCUACCAAGUCUACGAUCUAUAGCUGGUUUAAGAGGAUGAUCAGCAACACUGGGACUGAGACACGGCCCAGACUCCUACGGGAGGCAGCAGUGGGGAAUCUUAGACAAUGGGCGAAAGCCUGAUCUAGCCAUGCCGCGUGAGUGAUGAAGGCCUUAGGGUCGUAAAGCUCUUUCGCCAGGGAUGAUAAUGACAGUACCUGGUAAAGAAACCCCGGCUAACUCCGUGCCAGCAGCCGCGGUAAUACGGAGGGGGUUAGCGUUGUUCGGAAUUACUGGGCGUAAAGCGCGCGUAGGCGGAUCAGAAAGUUGGGGGUGAAAUCCCAGGGCUCAACCCUGGAACUGCCUCCAAAACUCCUGGUCUUGAGUUCGAGAGAGGUGAGUGGAAUUCCGAGUGUAGAGGUGAAAUUCGUAGAUAUUCGGAGGAACACCAGUGGCGAAGGCGGCUCACUGGCUCGAUACUGACGCUGAGGUGCGAAAGUGUGGGAGCAAACAGGAUUAGAUACCCUGGUAGUCCACACCGUAAACGAUGAAUGCCAGACGUCGGGCAGUAUACUGCUUCGGUGUCACACCUAACGGAUUAAGCAUUCCGCCUGGGGAGUACGGUCGCAAG